AAAUUAUGGUACGAAUGCCGCCCGCUUGGCGCUUGCCUUCCUAGUUCCCAAUCCUCGACGGACUUCCCACUUCCCAGUCCCGCUUCAGAUGUGAACCUCCUGAUCAAAUCUGGCAUCUCCUCUCCUCUCUCUUCGCUCCUCCAAUCAAACGAUCUCCUUUCCCUUCCUCUGCUCCCCUAACCUCAGAACUGAAGGCAACGACGCCUUCAGUUCUGGAGAACUGGAAGUCUCUGUCGAGCUCUCUCUUCAUACCUCAGCGGACCAUCGAUGCUGCCGCCGCCGAGCAAUGGAAAGUGUGAUCCGCAGGACCGCCUCUAACAUCCGUUUUAGAUAUCUCGUCUAAUUUUUCCAUUCCAAUGUCUGAAAGACCUUCCGAUAUGUUAGGGUUUCUACACUUUGUCGUCUUCUCUCAAAUCUAGGGUUUGUAUAGUUCUCUCUCACUCUGGAAUCUCCUCUCCUUCUCGCUCUCCAUUCUCUCUUCAACUGAACCAUCCUCAAAUCUUCUUACCUCAGAAGUGAAAGACGGCAAUACUUUCAGUUCUGGAGAACUUAAAGCUCCCUUCGAACACUCUUUACAUACUUCAGCGGACCAUCGCCACUCCCGCUUAGCAAUCAAAGUGUUUCUGCCGAGUCAAACUUCUGUGUAAGAAAUCUCGUUUCGGAUGUAUCCAGGGACCGCCAAUUUCACUCUCGAGCCAGAGCCUUGCAGAACGGAUCUAUUACGGGCUUUCACCGCCUGAAGACUCCCAAGGGCUUCGUUUCGUCUACGAAGACAUAGAAAGGUACUGGUAACUGAGAAACGAAAAAGAGUUCUAACACAUCUGUAUCUUAAAUCUUUAUUAAAUACCUUGAAAUUGAAGAUCUUCAACAUUAGACGACUUUUCGCCACUGAACUGAACUGAAUAUGCUUAUAGCAGCUUAAUCAGUAUCUUAUAGUGAAUUUCUUGUUAGCUACACGGAACUCAGGUUCUUAUAGAUGCUUUCUUUUGUUUCAAUUUAUUUGUUUUUCUUGAAUGUAAAAUUUAUUUAGAUCUGGUGGACUGGUUACAUCAAAUAAUCUGGCAAACUGAUUAUUUCAUAACUGGUAAAUUCAGAUGCGGUAGGUUCUCCCUUCACGAUUAUACACUCUUUGUUCUUUUGGUAUUUAUAUUUAAAUUGCACUAAUUAGAGAAGUGAUAAUUUUGGUCUUGUAGGUCUGUUCUACUGUGGAUUCUGUGGAAUUUUGUAAGCAUAUCAAUCCUCAAUCCUGAUAGGUUGACGUUGUUUUAGUUAGCUUAUAAGUUCCAUUUUCAAUGUUAUGUAUGUGUGUGUGGGCGCGUAUUAACAAUUACUAUUGCUGUUAUUAUCUUCUGAAUUAGUAUACUGCUUUAGUUUAUGUACAAGGGGAUUUGUCAAGGAGGCUAGCAAAGUGUCCAUGAAAAUGAAUAUCUGCUUGUUAAGUGACUACUUCUCUAAUAGUCUAAUGUCUUAGCUUUUUUGUGUACUCGUGACCUCAAUAAGUGCUUUUUUGUGUGUGACAAGAAAGUAUGAAACAUAUUUCUUAUUACUUAUGAUCGAUAUAAUGUGCAUUCCUAUGUAUCUACAUGGGUAAUUGGCACAUGAGAUUUUGUUGUCCUGGCAAUUGGCAGAAGACGUCUGUGAGGUGUUGAUGCCUGUGAUUUCUUUAUCAGGAUCAAAAUGUAAAGUUUAAUUACAUUGAACUAAGGCUGAACCGCUGAAUGGAUUUUAUUGAAGCGAGGCUUUACUGUAAUGUCACUUAAUCAUAAUUUUUCAGUGGGCAGUCAUUGCAUAACUAGUAGAGUCCUACAGUUCAAUAUCCUUGAAUCGUUGCACUUUUUCUCUAAGAAAAUGCUAAACCAAAUAACUAUAUGGGAUUGAGCAUCCUCCUUGAAACUUAUUUAAUUGCCUUUAGUUGAGAUGGCACAAGGUAACUAAUUACAUAUACUAAUUGGAUCGUUUAUUCCAUGCGCUGAUUUCUGUGAGUUGUAUAGCUGAGUUUGUAGCUGGAAGCAAGUUAUGAAAACGUUUUAAGCAAGAUUGAAUUCCUAGUUAAUUUCUCCCAAAGACUUUAGUUUUUUUUCCCUUCAUUUUCAGAUGAAUUACUCUUAGAAGUUUUGAUUUAUGUGAUUAUUAUGCAUGUUAAUAACAUACGUUUCUCGUAUUUUUUGUUUGAUUGAUGAUUCUCCAAAAAGUACCCAGAAAGAAGAACUCGUGACAAUUCAAGUUUCUCUGUUUUCCAGUUUUCUGGAAUCACUUUGGCAUGUUUUACUGCUGACGUGCAGUAUCAUUGUACAAUUCAGUUGGAGAAGUGCAAGAAUGCAAGAUAGUGAUUGUCUUUCUAAUAAAGCUCAUAUGUUUGCUCAUUCUCUGCACAUCAACUUUGAAAAGGAAAAUAAGCAUCCCUUUUUACCUUUUCUGCUGUUAGAGAAACUUGAUCAAGUGCGUCUGUUUAAUGUGGCCGUAUUUUGGCUGCACAGGAAGUAAGUAUAUAAUUCCGUUAAUUCUAAUUCAGUUAUCCAAUAUAUUUCUAACACACCUAAUCAGUAUACGCUGUUCAAUUUUUAAGUAGCUUAAUAUUCCAAAGCUAUAAAGCAUGGAUACGGCAGAGAUGUUGGAGUAUCUGUGUCCGAUAUGUAUCGGAUAUAGAUACGUUGAGAUACGUCAUAAAUACGUCUGAAAUACAUAUUUAAUAAAUCACAAUUUUUUUUUUAUUUUUUUAAAAUUGCGAUAUGUAUCCGGAUACGUGAUUGACACGUACCAGAUACAUAUCGGACAUGCUGCGACCUGUUUUGCCCUAGGGUUUAUAGGAUAUUUGUUUUUCGUAAGACUUUUAAAACAAUUAGACGACAAGCUUUCAUCGUCUUUUACACUCUUCUCGUCUUCGACAUCGACGAAAAACUACGACAGUCGACACAGAUCAUCGACAAAGACCAAACCACUACUGUCGAUAGAGAUCGACGACAAAGGCUGUUGUUCUUAACCAGGUUAUGGGUCUCUGUAGCUCUGGCUUCUGCCAAUCCAUAAUGGCUUUGUCGCUUGUUUCACUUUUCCAUUUUUCUUCUCUGCAUCGAGAGCAGAGACACAGAGAACCUUCAAAGCAAGCAAAAAACUGAAAAACAUUGAAAAAAGGGUUUUGCUAUGCCUUUGUUGCAGCUACUAUAUAACUAUGCCACCUGUUGUUAUAGGUGAUGAUUCACCAUUUUCUAAAAGCAUUAUUGUGUGUGUCUAACACGUGUACUCCUACAGGACUAUCUUAUUGAAAAGAAACAUAUUAUAUAUAUAUAUAUAUAUAUAUAAAAUUAGUUAACGUGUCCCCAACGUAUCCGUAUCCUACUUUUUUGAAAAUCACGUAUCCACGUAUCCAUAUCGUGUCGUAUCCGUUUCCCGUGUCCGUAUCUGUGCUACAUAGUUCCAAAGUAUAGACUUUGUGUGCAUUGGAAUUUGGUCAGGUUUGUAAGUAACUUUUCAACAUACUUUGUUCUUUAAUAUCUCACAUGUAAAAGGGAUGUUCGUUGAUCUCCUUGUUCUUUUUCAUUUUUAUAUUCUGAUUUAAUGUUGAUUUUUAUUCACCAACCAGGGCAAGUUAUUUUUUUCUUUGUUCUUUAUAUAUAUAUAUGCAUAUAAUAUUCAUAUUGUUUCUUUUUAGGAUGAAUGUUAACUUUUCUUUGUCCAGCUUACACUAGCUUCUUCGGUCCUCUAUCUCAAUGUAUUUUCGUCUACGAUUCUUAAUCAAUUGGUUUCAUUAAUUUUAGCGUUUCUUUCUAGCUCCCUUGGUCGAUGUUUUGGGAUUUGUUUCUGGUAAUCUAGCUUGUUUCUGUUAUUCAAGAUUAUUUGGUUUGAUUUAUUUUACAAUUGCGAAGGCAUUCUUAAUUCCUUCUCAAUCUUUACUCACCUGUUUUCCAUCAUUCUGAAUUAUAAACCCAAAAAUAUUUGAAAUUCCAGAAUUUAAGUAUUUUCUUUCCCAUCUUAGAAUGGAGGGAGAGAAAGAUGAGGGAACCAAUUAACACAGGAAAAUCUUUUGAUUUUCAAAUUUUUGUAUUUGUCCUAGCUAUCUUAAAGUCUUUUUAGUUCAAAGCUUGUCUCCAUGUUUUCCAUUCCAAAGUGACUCUUGAUAUGUACUCAUCCAUUAAGUCGAUGUCAUUCCUGGGAACAGAAUUACUUCAUCUUGAGUUCAUUUUGCCCAUGUUUUCCAGAAUUUAUAACCUCCCUCUCUCUUUUGAAGAAUUUUUAACCACUUUUAAGCCAUAUUACUUCUUGAGUUCAUGCUUUCUACGAGCGAAAGACUCUUGCCGAUCCAUAUGUCCUUUACUAGAUUAUAAGUUACAUUCCACAAAUGCAAUUUGUAACUAACUUAAUGUAAAAAAUGACUUGGAACUUCUAUACACACCUAUUGAAGGUCGUCUGUAAGGUGAUGUACAUUUCAGCCUAACGUCACUGCUGCAGGGAAAUUAUGAUGAUGAACUGAUUUCUGAAUUAUCAGACUAUCAGCAAUCUGACAAGGUAAGAUUAAUGCUUUUCCCUAUUUCUUGUGGAAGAUAACCAUGGAAUGAGGCUAUUUAAUUUAAUUUUUAUUAUUUUUUUGUAAAUUUACAAUUAUGAGCAGUUAAAAGGGCUGCUGAUACGAGUCUCGGUGUGUUUGCCCUUUAUUUUAAUUGCAUUCAUCGAAAGUAAAUGCACGUUCUAGUUGUAGUGCAUGUUAGAGAAGUAAUGAAUGUCCAAGAAUUGGCCGUCUUUAUGAGGUUGAAUUCUGUAACUAAACGAGUCGGUGACCAUAUACCAGACGUUAUCUGGAACUUUGCCCACAGCAUCAAUCUGUCUUUUUAGAUAACUAUUUUUAAAAGUUGCAUCUGUGUAGUGGCAUGGAUAUAAUGCAUGUACCAAUUAUAAUGUCUAAAUGUUGACUCAAGCUGUGAGUUGUUACGGUAAGUUCUGUUCUUUAGAUUCUGCAGGUUUGCACAUUUCAUAAUGUUUCCAUAAUAACGUCCUGUGUCAAGGUAACCUUUAUUUAUAUGGUCAACGAGCUUCGUAAUGGAAUAACAAACCUGGUUAUAUAGUA